CAUGCAAGUCGAACGGGAAACAUUUUAUUGAAGCUUCGGCAGAUUUAGAUUGUUUCUAGUGGCGGACGGGUGAGUAACGCGUGGGUAACCUGCCUUAUACCGGGGGAUAACAGCCAGAAAUGACUGCUAAUACCGCAUAAGCGCACAGAACCGCAUGGUUCGGUGUGAAAAACUCCGGUGGUAUAAGAUGGACCCGCGUUGGAUUAGCUGGUUGGCAGGGCAGCGGCCUACCAAGGCGACGAUCCAUAGCCGGCCUGAGAGGGUGAACGGCCACAUUGGGACUGAGACACGGCCCAGACUCCUACGGGAGGCAGCAGUGGGGAAUAUUGCACAAUGGGGGAAACCCUGAUGCAGCGACGCCGCGUGAAGGAAGAAGUAUCUCGGUAUGUAAACUUCUAUCAGCAGGGAAGAUAAUGACGGUACCUGACUAAGAAGCCCCGGCUAACUACGUGCCAGCAGCCGCGGUAAUACGUAGGGGGCAAGCGUUAUCCGGAUUUACUGGGUGUAAAGGGAGCGUAGACGGCGCAGCAAGUCUGAUGUGAAAGGCAGGGGCUUAACCCCUGGACUGCAUUGGAAACUGCUGUGCUUGAGUGCCGGAGGGGUAAGCGGAAUUCCUAGUGUAGCGGUGAAAUGCGUAGAUAUUAGGAGGAACACCAGUGGCGAAGGCGGCUUACUGGACGGUAACUGACGUUGAG
rnacentral:rRNA from 1 species